CAGUCGCCGCGGUAAUACGGAGGAUUCAAGCGUUAUCCGGAAUCAUUGGGUUUAAAGGGUCCGUAGGCGGUCUUGUAAGUCAGUGGUGAAAGCCCAUCGCUCAACGGUGGAACGGCCAUUGAUACUGCAGGACUUGAAUUAUUGGGAAGUAACUAGAAUAUGUAGUGUAGCGGUGAAAUGCUUAGAGAUUACAUGGAAUACCAAUUGCGAAGGCAGGUUACUACCAAUUGAUUGACGCUGAUGGACGAAAGCGUGGGUAGCGAACAGGAUUAGAUACCCGUGUAGUCCCUGUCUCUUAUAC
rnacentral:rRNA from 1 species